rnacentral:rRNA from 1 species
UUUUUUAAUUGGAGACUGGAAUGAAAGGUAGAUACUAAAAGGGAGGUUUUUUAUAAGAAUUUUGAAUUUAAUUUAAGAGUAAAAAAGCUUUUAUUUAACUUUGGGACGAGAAGACCCUAGAAGUUUUAAAUUGAGAAUUUUUAAUUGGGGUAAUUAAUGAAGAUAUAAAUUUUUUUUAUUUUUAAUUUUGGUGAUUAAAUUACUCUAGGGAUAACAGCAUUAUUUAAUUAGUGAGUUCUUAUUAAGAAUUGAGUUUGUGACCUCGAUGUUGAAUUAAAUUAAAUUUAUGGUGAAGGGGCUAUAGAUAUUUAGUCUGUUCGACUAUUAAAAAUUUACGUGAUCUGAGUUCAGACCGG